AUGGGGUGACUGCGUACCUUUUGUAUAAUGGGUCAGCGACUUAUAUUCUGUAGCAAGGUUAACCGAAUAGGGGAGCCGAAGGGAAACCGAGUCUUAACUGGGCGUUAAGUUGCAGGGUAUAGACCCGAAACCCGGUGAUCUAGCCAUGGGCAGGUUGAAGGUUGGGUAACACUAACUGGAGGACCGAACCGACUAAUGUUGAAAAAUUAGCGGAUGACUUGUGGCUGGGGGUGAAAGGCCAAUCAAACCGGGAGAUAGCUGGUUCUCCCCGAAAGCU
rnacentral:rRNA from 1 species